AGUGAACGCUGGCGGUAGGCCUAACACAUGCAAGUCGAACGGCAGCACAGUAAGAGCUUGCUCUUACGGGUGGCGAGUGGCGGACGGGUGAGGAAUACAUCGGAAUCUACUUUUUCGUGGGGGAUAACGUAGGGAAACUUACGCUAAUACCGCAUACGACCUACGGGUGAAAGCAGGGGAUCUUCGGACCUUGCGCGAUUGAAUGAGCCGAUGUCGGAUUAGCUAGUUGGCGGGGUAAAGGCCCACCAAGGCGACGAUCCAUAGCUGGUCUGAGAGGAUGAUCAGCCACACUGGAACUGAGACACGGUCCAGACUCCUACGGGAGGCAGCAGUGGGGAAUAUUGGACAAAGGGCGCAAGCCUGAUCCAGCCAUACCGCGUGGGUGAAGAAGGCCUUCGGGUUGUAAAGCCCUUUUGUUGGGAAAGAAAAGCAGCAGGUUAAUACCCCGCUGUUCUGACGGUACCCAAAGAAUAAGCACCGGCUAACUUCGUG
rnacentral:rRNA from 1 species